UUAAGCGACUAAGCGUACACGGUGGAUGCCCUGGCAGUCAGAGGCGAUGAAGGACGUGCUAAUCUGCGAUAAGCGUCGGUAAGGUGAUAUGAACCGUUAUAACCGGCGAUUUCCGAAUGGGGAAACCCAGUGUGUUUCGACACACUAUCAUUAACUGAAUCCAUAGGUUAAUGAGGCGAACCGGGGGAACUGAAACAUCUAAGUACCCCGAGGAAAAGAAAUCAACCGAGAUUCCCCCAGUAGCGGCGAGCGAACGGGGAGCAGCCCAGAGCCUGAAUCAGUGUGUGUGUUAGUGGAAGCGUCUGGAAAGGCGCGCGAUACAGGGUGACAGCCCCGUACACAAAAAUGCACAUGCUGUGAGCUCGAUGAGUAGGGCGGGACACGUGGUAUCCUGUCUGAAUAUGGGGGGACCAUCCUCCAAGGCUAAAUACUCCUGACUGACCGAUAGUGAACCAGUACCGUGAGGGAAAGGCGAAAAGAACCCCGGCGAGGGGAGUGAAAAAGAACCUGAAACCGUGUACGUACAAGCAGUGGGAGCACGCUUAGGCGUGUGACUGCGUACCUUUUGUAUAAUGGGUCAGCGACUUAUAUUCUGUAGCAAGGUUAACCGAAUAGGGGAGCCGAAGGGAAACCGAGUCUUAACUGGGCGUUAAGUUGCAGGGUAUAGACCCGAAACCCGGUGAUCUAGCCAUGGGCAGGUUGAAGGUUGGGUAACACUAACUGGAGGACCGAACCGACUAAUGUUGAAAAAUUAGCGGAUGACUUGUGGCUGGGGGUGAAAGGCCAAUCAAACCGGGAGAUAGCUGGUUCUCCCCGAAAGCUAUUUAGGUAGCGCCUCGUGAAUUCAUCUCCGGGGGUAGAGCACUGUUUCGGCAAGGGGGUCAUCCCGACUUACCAACCCGAUGCAAACUGCGAAUACCGGAGAAUGUUAUCACGGGAGACACACGGCGGGUGCUAACGUCCGUCGUGAAGAGGGAAACAACCCAGACCGCCAGCUAAGGUCCCAAAGUCAUGGUUAAGUGGGAAACGAUGUGGGAAGGCCCAGACAGCCAGGAUGUUGGCUUAGAAGCAGCCAUCAUUUAAAGAAAGCGUAAUAGCUCACUGGUCGAGUCGGCCUGCGCGGAAGAUGUAACGGGGCUAAACCAUGCACCGAAGCUGCGGCAGCGACGCUUAUGCGUUGUUGGGUAGGGGAGCGUUCUGUAAGCCUGUGAAGGUGUACUGUGAGGUAUGCUGGAGGUAUCAGAAGUGCGAAUGCUGACAUAAGUAACGAUAAAGCGGGUGAAAAGCCCGCUCGCCGGAAGACCAAGGGUUCCUGUCCAACGUUAAUCGGGGCAGGGUGAGUCGACCCCUAAGGCGAGGCCGAAAGGCGUAGUCGAUGGGAAACAGGUUAAUAUUCCUGUACUUGGUGUUACUGCGAAGGGGGGACGGAGAAGGCUAUGUUGGCCGGGCGACGGUUGUCCCGGUUUAAGCGUGUAGGCUGGUUUUCCAGGCAAAUCCGGAAAAUCAAGGCUGAGGCGUGAUGACGAGGCACUACGGUGCUGAAGCAACAAAUGCCCUGCUUCCAGGAAAAGCCUCUAAGCAUCAGGUAACAUCAAAUCGUACCCCAAACCGACACAGGUGGUCAGGUAGAGAAUACCAAGGCGCUUGAGAGAACUCGGGUGAAGGAACUAGGCAAAAUGGUGCCGUAACUUCGGGAGAAGGCACGCUGAUAUGUAGGUGAAGCGACUUGCUCGUGGAGCUGAAAUCAGUCGAAGAUACCAGCUGGCUGCAACUGUUUAUUAAAAACACAGCACUGUGCAAACACGAAAGUGGACGUAUACGGUGUGACGCCUGCCCGGUGCCGGAAGGUUAAUUGAUGGGGUUAGCGCAAGCGAAGCUCUUGAUCGAAGCCCCGGUAAACGGCGGCCGUAACUAUAACGGUCCUAAGGUAGCGAAAUUCCUUGUCGGGUAAGUUCCGACCUGCACGAAUGGCGUAAUGAUGGCCAGGCUGUCUCCACCCGAGACUCAGUGAAAUUGAACUCGCUGUGAAGAUGCAGUGUACCCGCGGCAAGACGGAAAGACCCCGUGAACCUUUACUAUAGCUUGACACUGAACAUUGAGCCUUGAUGUGUAGGAUAGGUGGGAGGCUUUGAAGUGUGGACGCCAGUCUGCAUGGAGCCGACCUUGAAAUACCACCCUUUAAUGUUUGAUGUUCUAACGUUGACCCGUAAUCCGGGUUGCGGACAGUGUCUGGUGGGUAGUUUGACUGGGGCGGUCUCCUCCUAAAGAGUAACGGAGGAGCACGAAGGUUGGCUAAUCCUGGUCGGACAUCAGGAGGUUAGUGCAAUGGCAUAAGCCAGCUUGACUGCGAGCGUGACGGCGCGAGCAGGUGCGAAAGCAGGUCAUAGUGAUCCGGUGGUUCUGAAUGGAAGGGCCAUCGCUCAACGGAUAAAAGGUACUCCGGGGAUAACAGGCUGAUACCGCCCAAGAGUUCAUAUCGACGGCGGUGUUUGGCACCUCGAUGUCGGCUCAUCACAUCCUGGGGCUGAAGUAGGUCCCAAGGGUAUGGCUGUUCGCCAUUUAAAGUGGUACGCGAGCUGGGUUUAGAACGUCGUGAGACAGUUCGGUCCCUAUCUGCCGUGGGCGCUGGAGAACUGAGGGGGGCUGCUCCUAGUACGAGAGGACCGGAGUGGACGCAUCACUGGUGUUCGGGUUGUCAUGCCAAUGGCACUGCCCGGUAGCUAAAUGCGGAAGAGAUAAGUGCUGAAAGCAUCUAAGCACGAAACUUGCCCCGAGAUGAGUUCUCCCUGACUCCUUGAGAGUCCUGAAGGAACGUUGAAGACGACGACGUUGAUAGGCCGGGUGUGUAAGCGCAGCGAUGCGUUGAGCUAACCGGUACUAAUGAACCGUGAGGCUUAACCUU
rnacentral:rRNA from 2 species